rnacentral:tRNA from 7 species
CGCGGGGUGGAGCAGUCUGGUAGCUCGUCGGGCUCAUAACCCGAAGGUCGUUGGUUCGAAUCCAGCCCCCGCUACCA